rnacentral:rRNA from 1 species
GAUGGGAGCUUGCUCCCUGAUGUUAGCGGCGGACGGGUGAGUAACACGUGGGUAACCUGCCUGUAAGACUGGGAUAACUCCGGGAAACCGGGGCUAAUACCGGAUGGUUGUUUGAACCGCAUGGUUCAGACAUAAAAGGUGGCUUCGGCUACCACUUACAGAUGGACCCGCGGCGCAUUAGCUAGUUGGUGAGGUAACGGCUCACCAAGGCGACGAUGCGUAGCCGACCUGAGAGGGUGAUCGGCCACACUGGGACUGAGACACGGCCCAGACUCCUACGGGAGGCAGCAGUAGGGAAUCUUCCGCAAUGGACGAAAGUCUGACGGAGCAACGCCGCGUGAGUGAUGAAGGUUUUCGGAUCGUAAAGCUCUGUUGUUAGGGAAGAACAAGUGCCGUUCAAAUAGGGCGGCACCUUGACGGUACCUAACCAGAAAGCCACGGCUAACUACGUGCCAGCAGCCGCGGUAAUACGUAGGUGGCAAGCGUUGUCCGGAAUUAUUGGGCGUAAAGGGCUCGCAGGCGGUUUCUUAAGUCUGAUGUGAAAGCCCCCGGCUCAACCGGGGAGGGUCAUUGGAAACUGGGGAACUUGAGUGCAGAAGAGGAGAGUGGAAUUCCACGUGUAGCGGUGAAAUGCGUAGAGAUGUGGAGGAACACCAGUGGCGAAGGCGACUCUCUGGUCUGUAACUGACGCUGAGGAGCGAAAGCGUGGGGAGCGAACAGGAUUAGAUACCCUGGUAGUCCACGCCGUAAACGAUGAGUGCUAAGUGGUUAGGGGGUUUCCGCCCCUUAGUGCUGCAGCUAACGCAUUAAGCACUCCGCCUGGGGGAGUACGGUCGCAAGACUGAAACUC